GACGAACGCUGGCGGCGUGCUUAACACAUGCAAGUCGAACGGAAAGGCCCCCUUGUGGGGUACUCGAGUGGCGAACGGGUGAGUAACACGUGAGUAACCUACCCUUGACUUUGGGAUAACUUCAGGAAACUGGGGCUAAUACCGGAUAGGAGCUCCUGCUGCAUGGUGGGGGUUGGAAAGUUUCGGCGGUUGGGGAUGGACUCGCGGCUUAUCAGCUUGUUGGUGGGGUAGUGGCUCACCAAGGCUUUGACGGGUGGCCGGCCUGAGAGGGUGACCGGCCACAUUGGGACUGAGAUACGGCCCAGACUCCUACGGGAGGCAGCAGUGGGGAAUAUUGCACAAUGGGCGGAAGCCUGAUGCAGCAACGCCGCGUGCGGGAUGACGGCCUUCGGGUUGUAAACCGCUUUCGCCUGUGACGAAGCGUGAGUGACGGUAAUGGGUAAAGAAGCACCGGCUAACUACGUG
rnacentral:rRNA from 1 species